GACGAACGCUGGCGGCGUGCCUAAUACAUGCAAGUCGAACGAGAGCGACCGGUGCUUGCACUGGUCAAUCUAGUGGCGAACGGGUGAGUAACACGUGGGUAACCUGCCCAUCAGAGGGGGAUAACAUCCGGAAACGGAUGCUAAAACCGCAUAGGUCUUCGAGCCGCAUGGCUUGAAGAGGAAAAGAGGCGCAAGCUUCUGCUGAUGGAUGGACCCGCGGUGCAUUAGCUAGUUGGUGAGGUAACGGCUCACCAAGGCCGUGAUGCAUAGCCGACCUGAGAGGGUGAACGGCCACAUUGGGACUGAGACACGGCCCAAACUCCUACGGGAGGCAGCAGUAGGGAAUCUUCCGCAAUGGACGCAAGUCUGACGGAGCAACGCCGCGUGAGUGAAGAAGGUUUUCGGAUCGUAAAACUCUGUUGUUAGAGAAGAACAAGUGCUAGAGUAACUGUUAAGCGCCUGGACUUCUCUAACCAGAAAGCCCCG
rnacentral:rRNA from 1 species